rnacentral:rRNA from 1 species
GGGGCUAGCCUCAAGGUGAGAGAUACGGAGGUAGAGCACUGAAUGUCCUAGGGGGUAUUGCACCUACCGAAGACUAUCAAACUCCGAAUGCCGUCAUCUUAUACUUGGGAGUCAGACUGUGGGUGAUAAGAUUCAUAGUCGAAAGGGCAACAGCCCAGAUCGUCAGCUAAGGUCCCUAAAUGUAAGUUAAGUGGUAAAGGAUGUGGGAUUGCACAGACAACCAGGAUGUUGGCUUAGAAGCAGCCACUCAUUCAAAGAGUGCGUAAUAGCUCACUGGUCGAGUGAUCCUGCGCCGAAGAUUUCCGGGGCUAAAACUUACUACCGAAGCUACGGCAUCAGUAAUGAUGGGUAGGGGAGCUUCCCAUACGGGUUGAAGCAUGACCGUAAGGACAUGUGGACAGUAUGGGAGUGAGAAUGUUGGCAUGAGUAGCGAGAUGUGGGUGAGAAUCCCACAGGCCGUAAACCCAAGGUUUCCAGGGGAAGGUUCGUCCGCCCUGGGUUAGUCGGGACCUAAGCUGAGGCCGAAAGGCGUAGGUGAUGGACAACAGGUUGAUAUUCCUGUACUACCGAUAACCGUUUGAGAGAAGGGAUGACACAGUAGGAUAAGCUAAGCACACUGUUGGUUAUGUGUGCCCAAGCAUUGAGGCAGUCAAAGUAGGCAAAUCCGCUUUGAUAAUGCUGGGAUGUGAUGGGGAGCGAAAUUUAGUAGCGAAGUAGCUGAUUUCACACUGUCAAGAAAAGUCUCUAUCGAGGUUAAAGGUACCCGUACCGCAAACCGACACAGGUGGGUGAGGAGAGUAUCCUAAGGCCAGCGAGAGAACUGUUGUUAAGGAACUCGGCAAAAUGACCCCGUAACUUAGGGAUAAGGGGUGCCACCAUCAGGUGGCCGCAGAGAAUAGGCCCAAGCGACUGUUUACCAAAAACAUAGGUUUCUGCUAAGUCGCAAGACGAUGUAUAGGAGCUGACGCCUGCCCGGUGCUGGAAGGUUAAGGGGAUCUAUUAGAGCAAUCGAAGCAGUGAACUUAAGCCCCAGUAAACGGCGGCCGUAACUAUAACGGUCCUAAGGUAGCGAAAUUCCUUGUCGGGUAAGUUCCGACCCGCACGAAAGGCGUAACGAUUUGGGCACUGUCUCAACAACAGACUCGGUGAAAUUGUAAUUCCGGUGAAGAUGCCGGAUACCUGCGACAGGACGGAAAGACCCCAUGGAGCUUUACUGUAGCUUGACAUUGGGUCUUGGUACUACAUGUACAGGAUAGGUGGGAGGCUUUGAAACCAGGACGCCAGUUUUGGCGGAGCCAUCCUUGGGAUACCACCCUUGUAGUACUGGGACUCUAACCAUAGGCCAUGAAUCUGGUCUUGGGACACUGUCAGGUGGGCAGUUUGACUGGGGCGGUCGCCUCCCAAAAGGUAACGGAGGCGCUCAAAGGUUCUCUCAGUACGGCCGGAAAUCGUACGUAGAGUGUAAAGGCAAAAGAGAGCUUGAUUGCAAGACAUACAGGUCGAGCAAGGAUGAAAAUCGGACUUAGUGAUCCGGUGGUUCUGCGUGGAAGGGCCAUCGCUCAACGGAUAAAAGCUACCCUGGGGAUAACAGGCUUAUCUCCCCCAAGAGUCCACAUCGACGGGGAGGUUUGGCACCUCGAUGUCGGCUCAUCACAUCCUGGGGCUGUAGUAGGUCCCAAGGGUUGGGCUGUUCGCCCAUUAAAGUGGUACGCGAGCUGGGUUCAGAACGUCGUGAGACAGUUCGGUCCCUAUCCGUCGCAGGCGUAGGAAAUUUGAGAAGACCUGUCCUUAGUACGAGAGGACCGGGAUGGACGUACCUCUGGUGUACCAGUUGUCCUGCCAAGGGCAUGGCUGGGUAGCUAUGUACGGAAUGGAUAAGCGCUGAAAGCAUCUAAGCGCGAAGCCAACUUCAAGAUAAGAUUUCCCACCGCAAGGGUAAGACCCCAGAAAGACUAUCUGGUUGAUAGGUCGAAGGUGUAAGUGCAGCAAUGUAUUUAGCUUAUCGAUACUAAUAGGUCGAGGACUUGACCAA